GACGAACGCUGGCGGCGCGCCUCAUACAUGCAAGUCGAACGUGAAGCGGGGCUUCGGCCCCGUGGAAAGUGGCGAACGGGUGCGUAACACGUGAGCAACCUGCCCCGAAGACUGGGAUAACCCGAGGAAACUCGGGCUAAUACCGGAUGUCCUCACCGGAUCGCAUGGUCUGGCGAGGAAAUGGAUUCCGCUUCGGGAUGGGCUCGCGGUCUAUCAGCUUGUUGGUGGGGUAACGGCCUACCAAGGCGACGACGGAUAGCUGGUCUGAGAGGACGAUCAGCCACACUGGGACUGAGACACGGCCCAGACUCCUACGGGAGGCAGCAGUAGGGAAUCUUGCGCAAUGGGGGAAACCCUGACGCAGCGACGCCGCGUGCGGGAUGAAGGCCUUCGGGUUGUAAACCGCUUUCAGCAGGGACGAAAUUGACGGUACCUGCAGAAGAAGGCCCGGCCAACUACGUGCCAGCAGCCGCGGUAAUACGUAGGGGCCAAGCGUUGUCCGGAUUUAUUGGGCGUAAAGAGCUCGUAGGCGGUUCGGUAAGUCAGCUGUGAAAUCUCCACGCUCAACGUGGAGGGGUCAGCUGAUACUGCCGUGACUUGAGUCUGGUAGGGGAGUGCGGAAUUCCCGGUGUAGCGGUGAAAUGCGCAGAUAUCGGGAGGAACACCAGUGGCGAAGGCGGCACUCUGGGCCAGUACUGACGCUGAGGAGCGAAAGCGUGGGGAGCGAACAGG
rnacentral:rRNA from 1 species